UUCCUCAGUGGCGCCAUUCCUGCAAGAGGAUGGGCGGGUGGGGGCCUGUGGAUGCGGCUCUCCAUUCCUAAGAAAUCUCACAGGAGCCAGCGGCCUGGGCCCGCGGCCCUCACCCCUCACCAGUGCCGGACAGAACAGCAGACAGCAUGGCCUCAGCUGCACCCCAGCCUGCGUCCCCCCUCCACGGAGAUCACUCUGUGCCAAGCUGGGCACAUCAAGGAGCACAGUGUGGAGAAACCAGCAGAGGUCAGGGGAGGACCCUUGACUCCGCCUGAAAGGAAAAGUGGCUGGAGCCGGGGCUGAGAGUGCCCCCACAGUCUCGAGUGGGAAUUCCUUCCAGAAAACACAGACCUUCCCAAGUUCUGAGCCACAGGCCUCUCCCACACACCCCUUCUCCAGGAGGGAGGAGCUGGGCGUGUGGGAGGUGCUCAGAGGCUGCGUGGGGGCUGGGGGCUCACCUGGGCACUGGUACCUGGGCACUGCUUUGGACUUCUGCCCGGGUGGUACCCAGGGCCCUGGUACCCUUGCCCAGGUGGGGACAAGCCGGGCAGGAGUUUCCGGGGCGCACCAUUACUGAGCCCUGAGCUGGGUAGGGAGGUGCAGGGCCGGGCCCAGUCUCCAGAAACUCCACCC